UACGGAGGGUGCUAGCGUUGUUCGGAAUUACUGGGCGUAAAGGGCGCGUAGGCGGCCGUUUGCGUCGGAUGUGAAAGCCCGGGGCUCAACCUCGGAACGGCAUUCGAUACGGGACGGCUGGAGACCGGGAGAGGAGAGUGGAAUAGCCAGUGUAGAGGUGAAAUUCGUAGAUAUUGGCUGGAGCACCGGUGGCGAAAGCGGCUCUCUGGCCCGGUUCUGACGCUGAGGCGCGAAAGCGUGGGGAGCAAACAGG
rnacentral:rRNA from 1 species